GACGGAGGAUGCAAGCGUUAUCCGGAAUUAUUGGGCGUAAAGCGUCCGCAGGUGGCACUUCAAGUCUGUCGUCAAAGACUGGGGCUUAACCCUGGAAAGGCGGUGGAAACUGAAGCGCUAGAGUGCGGUAGGGGUAGAGGGAAUUCCCGGUGUAGCGGUGAAAUGUGUAGAGAUCGGGAAGAACAUCGGUGGCGAAAGCGCUCUACUGGACCGCAACUGACACUCAGGGACGAAAGCUAGGGGGGCGAAUGGG
rnacentral:rRNA from 1 species